ACAAUAAAAGUAUAGUGCUUGCUUCAGCAACACAUAUAAUAGAGAAUAUUAGCAUGGUCCCUGCGCAAAGAUGAAACCAAAUUCAUGAAGUGUUCCGUAUUUUU
ensembl:snRNA U6 U6 spliceosomal RNA